AGAGGCAGCUGCGGCGCUCCAACCCGACAAGCGUCCCAAGGAGGUGCAGCCCCGGGGAAGCUGGCGACCCUCCCGAGCUGGGAGAAAGACAAACUUCCUCUCGCCCGCACUGCCCCCACGUCCACCGCUGCCCUGGGGGCCCCCUUCGAAGGCGAGGUCACGGCCCGUUUGGUGGUGGCUUGACCGGGGCGUCCCAGAGGAGCCAGCAAGCCCUCGCCUCCUCUGUGGGGUGUUUGCCAAGGACAGCUGGGCUCUGCGCUGCUUGCAGCCGCUGCUCCAGGAAGUCGGCCCCAAGCAGGCUUGCAGGAUUCACUAUAGAAUCCCUGCCUUUCCCCAGAGCCUGCCGGUGUUCUGCGCAGGGCCCUGCCUCGCCUUCCCACGGAGGGACGCGAAGACCCCGGGGUCUCUUCUUUCAGUUUCGCUCCAAGGUGCAGCCGCUUUCCCGGCAGCGGGACGUCUUUUAAUUGGGGACAUGUAUAUGGAUGAGGAUGGCACUCCGCCAGCAAGCCCCAGGUGGGAAGCAUGCCCUCCGGAGGGAGCUGUGCCUAGAACGUCGAAGACAGCAGGAGGAGCUGAAGGCUCUGACAAGGCCGUCAUGUAAAAACAGCAUUAAGGAUCAUGACCUUUUCCCUCGAAUGGACCCAUUUUCGUCUUUUAAUUCCACAAUCAGAGGGAAUGAGCAAUGAAGGGGGAGGAAGGCUGCCUUAUGCGUUCUAGGAUGUUUAGCACCUGCAUACACACAUCCAUAGGGACAGCCAAAUGUCUCCAGACAUUGCUAAAUGCCCCUUGCCAGGGAGUGGCAAAGUCAAAGUCAGAACCUCUGCCUCAAAGGAAGAACAUGGAUCCCCUUUAUCUGUACAUUCUAGGGGCCUAGCACAAGCCCUCUGUGCUGAAAACAUCUCUGAAUUAUCCCAAUCGCCACAUCGAUGCAAUCAUUUUAAAGAUGAAGCAAUUCUGCUGUCUGGAGGACCUAUGCUUCCCCAAGGCCAUAAAAGAAUGGUGGGUCUUGCUAUUUUGUCCAGGUUGGGCUGAACUUGUGAUCCUUCUGCCUCAGCCUCCUGAGUAGCUGGGACUACAGACAUUUACCACUGCAGCCAGCUAAGACUUUUUUUUUAAGUAGGACCUCUGCUUCUGGCCUUAAGAAUAAUGAGUAUUAGGCUGGCAGCCUGUGCACAACCCCAGACCCACACCACAGCAUGGAUUGUGAUCUCUCAGGGAAGAUAAGCUAAUAAGGUAAGCCCUGGGAUCACCCAGGCCUGCUGUGUGGAGGCACUUUGCAGACCAUGGGGCAGAGAAGGAACCCCAAGGAGAGCACAGUCAUCUCACUGAGUUGGGGAGUCAGAGACUGGAAUUCAGGAGGAGGCUACUGGACUCUACGAAGAAGAGUACUGAAAAGGAGGAAACUACACAGAGAAAGAGUUCCAGAGAGCUAUGCAGAAGUCUUCUUGAGCCUUUUGCCAAAUACUAAAUGGGCAUGUGCAGAUGAAACUCCAAGAGCUAGGCAAAAUAUGCUGAAGAAAGAGCAACUUGCAGGGCUAGGGGGUAAUUCAGGGGCUGUAAGACAAACAAUUCCCAAAGUCACACAGAGCUGUGAAACAUUAAAGUUUCAACCAACAAUAGUGAAGAGACCUCACUGAACCAACCCUGGAAGGGCCAGAUCUUGGUAGCACUAAACUAGCCACAGACCUAAGACUGCUGUAGACCUGCCUUAACAAAGAAACUGACCUGAGCUAUCUAACAUGGCAGCCAUUAGCCACGUGUGACUAAUAAACACUUGAAAUAUGGCUAGUCCAAACUGAAAUGUCCCUGAAAUAUAAAAUGCAGACCAGAUUUCUAAGAAUUUGUAUGAAAAAAAGAAUGUAAAUUAUCUCGUGAAUAGUUUUUAUAUAUUGAUUUCAUGUUGAAAUGAUCAUAUUUUG
rnacentral:lncRNA from 1 species